rnacentral:rRNA from 1 species
UUACCACCUUGACAUCGCAGAGAUUAGUUCGCUGACAGGUGCUGCAUGGCUGUCGUCAGCUCGUGUCGUGAGAUGUUCGGUUAAGUCCAGCAACGAGCGCAACCCCGCCUUAGUUACCAGCAUAUGGGACCCUAAGGAGACGCCGGUGAUAACCGGAGGAAGGUGUGGACGACGUCAAGUCAUCAUGGCCCUUACGGUGGGCUACACACGUGCUACAAUGGUCUACAGGAGAAUCUCCAAAGAGUCUCAGUUCGGAUUGGGGUCUGCAACUCGACCCCAUGAAGUUGGAAUCGCUAGUAAUCGCGAACAGCAUGCGCGGUGAAUACGUUCCCGGGCCUUGUACACACCGCCCGUCACACCAUGGGAAUUGGUCACCGAA